AAUUCAUCACGGAAGGUCAAAAAGUUUAGCAAGUUUCUUCAACGGGGAGCAAAGUGCUCUUAGAAAUCUAUGUUAAUUGUAGUUCAAUAGUAUUAAUUUCAUAGAAAAGGCUAUUCGUCAAUCUAUGAAUAAUUAUCGAUAGCGUACUCACACAAACAACAUAUCGCAAUAACUCCACGAGUUGAUGCAAGGUAUCAUCAUGUGAGGAUGAUCCAAUGAGAAGACUAUUCUCUUGAAGGUCAAUGACAACCAACCAAUAAGUGACUGACAUUUCCCUGAAUCUGUAAGCUUGGCCUGAAUAUAGGCCGUUAGCCUGAGAGGCCAAAAAAGUUCAAAUGGGAAGAAGGAAACAAAAAGUGCGAAGCGUCGUUGAGGAUGAAUGAUAUUUUCAGGAAUUUCAAAUAACUUACGGCCAUACCUAUCGGCCUGUGGAGAUCGCCGUUUAUCUCAUUUCCUCCUAACUCCAAGUCUAAAUUAAGCUUCUCUUGCAAGAAAACCCCCAGGGAAAACGCUACAUUCAGCAUGUUUUACCUGAUUGCAAUUUCCAGGAUACCUGAACAAGACUCAAAGAACGGGAGGCCUGCCUUUUGUCUAGCCGUGUCAUUGCCUUUUGCAAGUCCUUCAUGAUUUUUCUAGCUAAAUGGCAAUAGAAUAACAUGAUGUUAUAGUAGCCUACACUUGCCCCGUUAUAAUUUUCGUUGUUCAGUGAAUGCGCUUGUUUCAAAGGUUUACGUACGUAUAAAAUAUAAAUAUUAUUUAUACGUUUUAACCAAGUCAACCAAGUUAUAAUUUUUUAUUCAUUUAUUAAAACAUCGGUAAAAUAUAAGGAGAAAAAACUUG